rnacentral:rRNA from 1 species
AACGAACGCUGGCGGCGUGGCUAAGGCAUGCAAGUCGUACGGAAUACCUGAGUAGCAAUACGAGGGUAUUUAGUGGCGGACGGGUGAGUAAUGCAUGGGUAACGUGCCUCGGACACAGGGAUAGCGUCGGGCCCGCAAGGGUCCUUUGCGAAAGUGACGGUAAUACCUGAUGACAUCGCGGAAUCGCAUGUUUCUGCGAUCAAAGGUGGGGACCGCAAGGCCUACCAGUCCAAGAUCGGCCCAUGUCCUAUCAGCUAGUUGGUGAGGUAAUGGCUCACCAAGGCUUUGACGGGUAGCCGGCGUGAGAGCGCGACCGGCCACAUCGGAACUGAGACACUGUCCGGACACCUACGGGUGGCUGCAGCAACGAAUAUUCCGCAAUGGGCGCAAGCCUGACGGAGCGACGCCGCGUGAAGGAU